rnacentral:rRNA from 1 species
CCUACGGGGGGCAGCAGUAAGGAAUAUUGGACAAUGCCCGCAAGGGUGAUCCAGCCAUGCCGCGUGCAGGAAGACGGCCCUAUGGGUUGUAAACUGCUUUUACACCGGAGAAAACCUCCCUUCGUGAAGGGAGCUGAUAGUAUGGUGAGAAUAAGCAUCGGCUAACUUCGUGCCAGCAGCCGCGGUAAGACGAAGGAUGCAAGCGUUAUCCGGAUUCAUUGGGUUUAAAGGGAGCGUAGGUGGUCUUCUAAGUCAGUGGUGAAAUCUCUCGGCUU